UGGGGAAUAUUGCACAAUGGGGCGCAAGCCUGAUGCAGCCAUGCCGCGUGUAUGAAGAAGGCCUUCGGGUUGUAAGUACUUUCAGUAGGGAGGAAGGUGAUUAAGUUAAUACCUUAAUCAUUUGACGUUACCUACAGAAGAAGCACCGGCUAACUCCGUGCCAGCAGCCGCGGUAAU
rnacentral:rRNA from 1 species